AACGACAUCGAAAGCUUGCUUUUGAUGGGCGUCGACCGGCGCACGGGUGAGUAACGCGUAUCCAACCUGCCCACCACUUGGGGAUAACCUUGCGAAAGUAAGACUAAUACCCAAUGACGUCUCUAGAAGACAUCUGAAAGAGAUUAAAGAUUUAUCGGUGAUGGAUGGGGAUGCGUCUGAUUAGCUUGUUGGCGGGGUAACGGCCCACCAAGGCGACGAUCAGUAGGGGUUCUGAGAGGAAGGUCCCCCACAUUGGAACUGAGACACGGUCCAAACUCCUACGGGAGGCAGCAGUGAGGAAUAUUGGUCAAUGGACGAGAGUCUGACCAGCCAAGUAGCGUGCAGGAUGACGGCCCUAUGGGUUGUAAACUGCUUUUAUAAGGGAAUAAAGUGAGUCUCGUGAGACUUUUUGCAUGUACCUUAUGAAUAAGGACCGGCUAAUUCCGUGCCAGCAGCCGCGGUAAUACGGAAGGUCCGGGCGUUAUCCGGAUUUAUUGGGUUUAAAGGGAGCGUAGGCCGGAGAUUAAGCGUGUUGUGAAAUGUAGAUGCUCAACAUCUGCACUGCAGCGCGAACUGGUUUCCUUGAGUACGCACAAAGUGGGCGGAAUUCGUGGUGUAGCGGUGAAAUGCUUAGAUAUCACGAAGAACUCCGAUUGCGAAGGCAGCUCACUGGAGCGCAACUGACGCUGAAGCUCGAAAGUGCGGGUAUCGAACAGGAUUAGAUACCCUGGUAGUCCGCACGGUAAACGAUGGAUGCCCGCUGUUGGUCUGAAUAGGUCAGCGGCC
rnacentral:rRNA from 1 species